rnacentral:rRNA from 1 species
CGUAGGGUGCGAGCGUUAAUCGGAAUUACUGGGCGUAAAGCGUGCGCAGGCGGUUUUGUAAGACAGAUGUGAAAUCCCCGGGCUCAACCUGGGACCUGCAUUUGUGACUGCAAGGCUAGAGUACGGUAGAGGGGGAUGGAAUUCCGCGUGUAGCAGUGAAAUGCGUAGAUAUGCGGAGGAACACCGAUGGCGAAGGCAAUCCCCUGGACCUGUACUGACGCUCAUGCACGAAAGCGUGGGGAGCAAACAGGAUUAGAUACCCUGGUAGUCCACGCCCUAAACGAUGUCAACUGGUUGUUGGGUCUUCACUGACUCAGUAACGAAGCUAACGCGUGAAGUUGACCGCCUGGGGAGUACGGCCGCAAGGUUG